CUAGAACAUUGCUACUCAAGGUGUGAUCUGGGAAUAGCUGCUGUUCCUGCAUCAGGCACCGGAUGAUCUUCUGCAGGCUCAUCUCUAACUCUGAACUAAGACAUCCAGCAUAGUGGAAACCACCUGGCUUCAGUCAGGAGACUUGAAGUGGCUCCAACACCUCCUCCCUGGGCCAUGGACCUUGAGUACUAUUAUCACCAUUUUGCUGAAGUGGGGACCCUGCCUGGAGGAGGAGUCUUGUGGCAUGGUGGCUGAGAGCAAGGCCUUGGAGCCAGACCACCUGGAUUGAACAGCAGCCUCACAACAUUUAUUUU